AGUAACGCGUGGGUAACCUGCCCUUUUGUGGGGGAACAACUUCGAGAAAUCGGAGCUAAUACCGCAUAAUAAUAGAGGAUCGCAUGAUUCUUUAAGGAAAGAUGGCCUCUGAAGAUGCUAUCGCAAAAGGAUGGACCCGCGUCUGAUUAGCUAGUUGGAAGGGUAACGGCCUACCAAGGCAACGAUCAGUAGCCGGCCUGAGAGGGUGAACGGCCACAUUGGGACUGAGACACGGCCCAAACUCCUACGGAAGGCAGCAG
rnacentral:rRNA from 1 species